GAGAUUAGCUCAGUUGGUAGAGUACCUGCCUUACAAGCAGAGGGUCAUAGGUUCGAGUCCUAU
rnacentral:tRNA from 1 species